UGCGUAUAGUUCUAAAGAUAUUCAGCACUUCCACACAAAAAAAUAAGAAGAAGAAAUAAUGUUGGUAAUGAUGGAAAAUCCGGAAUUCCAUCAUUACUCGUGUCAUUACUGAACUCGUAGACCUUACACGAUCAUUAAAAGUGCCAUUACUUUUUAGUAAUGACACUUUUAAUGAUCGUGUAAGGGCCGCUAAUGUGCCAAUCACAUUUGGUGGUGGUACGAUCAGUUGGGCGGCAAGGAAGCAAACGUGUGUCGCUUUAUCAUCAAAGCCUUGGGAUUACAUUUCUGUAGUGGAAUUUGACCUUCUGUUUCAACAGACUUCGCAGCCGAUUCAGAGUGUCGGGGCUCGAACAUACGACAACUGGUUUGUAAGACCAGCGCCCUAUGCAUUGAACCGCCAACCCGGGCGCUUUAUCAUCAACUGAGGCCGAAUUUGUUGCUGCUGCUGAAGUUGGUCAGGCACUACUUUGGAUGCGGAAGCUUAUGACAGAUUUGUGUGAACCAAUUAGUAACAUCGUAUUGUACGAAGACAACCAAAGCACUAUCCGUCAACUGGAAGCAGAAAGGUUAAAGCGACGAGCAAAACAUGUUGAUACCAAGUUCCAGUUUACAAAGGACCUGACCUCGUCCUACAAGGCGUUUUGUCGGUAGUUUAUUGUCCAUCAGAAGACAUGGUAGUUUAUUGUGCAUCAGAAGAAAAAUUAUCCAAACAUCGAACUUAGGUGAUAGAGCGGCAAAAUUUAUUUGUCUAAAAAUAAGUGCUCUUGAAAAAUGAACAAAACGAUUUCUUUAAAAAAAGAAAGAGUGUCAAUUUUAUUCAAAUCAAACGUAUGUACAAUAAACAAACCUCAAUAUAA